rnacentral:tRNA from 1 species
GGGAAGGUGGCUCAAUGGUAGAGCGCUUGCCUUGCAUGCUCGAGGCCCUGGGUUCGAUUCCUCAG